GCCCUAGUAACGGCGAGUGAAGCGGCAACAGCUCAAAUUUGAAAUCUGGCUCUUUCAGAGUCCGAGUUGUAAUUUGCAGAGGGCGCUUUGGCGUUGGCAGCGGUCCAAGUUCUUUGGAACAGGACGUCACAGAGGGUGAGAAUCCCGUACGUGGUCGCUAGACUUCGCCGUGUAAAGCCCCUUCGACGAGUCGAGUUGUUUGGGAAUGCAGCUCUAAAUGGGAGGUAAAUUUCUUCUAAAGCUAAAUACUGGCCAGAGACCGAUAGCGCACAAGUAGAGUGAUCGAAAGAUGAAAAGCACUUUGGAAAGAGAGUCAAAUAGCACGUGAAAUUGUUGAAAGGGAAGCGCUUGCAGCCAGACUUGCCUGUAGUUGCUUAUCCAGACUUUUGUCUGGUGCACUCUUCUGCGGGCAGGCCAGCAUCAGUUUGGGCGGUUGGAUAAAGGUCUCUAUCACGUACCUCUCUUCGGGGAGGCCUUAUAGGGGAGACGCCAUGCAACCAGCCCAGACUGAGGUCCGCGCAUCUGCUAGGAUGCUGGCGUAAUGGCUGUAAGCGGCCCGUCUUGAAACACGGACCAAGGAGUCUAACAUCUAUGCGAGUGUUUGGGUGUCAAGCCCAUACGCGUAAUGAAAGUGAACGGAGGUGGGAACCUUUUAGGUGCACCAUCGACCGAUCCUGAUGUCUUCGGAUGGAUUUGAGUAAGAGCAUGGCUGUUGGGACCCGAAAGAUGGUGAACUAUGCUUGAAUAGGGUGAAGCCAGAGGAAACUCUGGUGGAGGCUCGCAGCGGUUCUGACGUGCAAAUCGAUCGUCAAAUUUGGGCAUAGGGGCGAAAG
rnacentral:rRNA from 1 species